AACAAACGCUGGCGGCGUGCCUAAUACAUGCAAGUCGAACGGGGAAAGCUUUCGGGUGAGUACUAGUGGCGCACGGGUGAGUAACGCGUGGAUAAUCUGCCUUAGAGUGGGGGAUAACUAGUCGAAAGAUUAGCUAAUACCGCAUAAGACCACAAGAACUGCGGUUCAAGAGGUCAAAGGUUUUUCGCUCUAAGAUGAGUCCGCGUAAGAUUAGCUAGUUGGUGAGGUAACGGCUCACCAAGGCAACGAUCUUUAACUGGUCUGAGAGGAUGAUCAGUCACACUGGAACUGAGACACGGUCCAGACUCAUACGGGAGGCAGCAGUAGGGAAUAUUGCACAAUGGAGGAAACUCUGAUGCAGCGACGCCGCGUGAGUGAUGAAGGCCUUCGGGUCGUAAAGCUCUGUCGCAGGGGAAUAACACAAUGAAGGUACCCUGUAAGAAAGGAUCGGCUAACUUCGUGCCAGCCGCCGCAGUAAGAC
rnacentral:rRNA from 1 species